rnacentral:ncRNA from 2 species
CAAAAAUUGAAUAAUUUCAUCUAUAUAAUCCUAAUAAUAUGGUUUGGGAGUUUCUACGAAAGGGCCGUAAAUCCUUUGUCUAUGGGUGAAUCUAUAUGGGGC